GGAUUUGGAACAGGAGAUGAGUGGUGAAAAGAGUGGUAAUGCGUGAAGAGGUAGUUGUUACGGUGAACAGAUCUAUGAAGAAAGUAGUAUAAAGGCUCUGAGAAGGUCACGUGUAUCACAAGCAAUACGAUGAGUCCUUUCGUGUUCCACAGUGGAAUAGUACUGUUCAUAAUCAUCGAUGGUGUAGACAUGUAACAUAUCAUGCUAGCUAUUAUUGCUUGCAGAAGUAUGUAAUUGUCCCUGAAAUAAAACUUAUAGAGAUCAAAACAACAGAGAAACAGAACGCAAAGUGGUUAUAAAAAUGGUUUGACUUUACCAGUGCCAUUCGUGAUCAAUCUGUUUGAAGUCAACACCAUUAAGGUUAAUCCUUAACGUACGAGUCAAGAAAAGCAUGUUGUUGUAAGAGCUCCAAAAGACGUGUACGAUUCCUUUGACCACAGAUGAUGAGGAUAUUGAGACACCAAAAAGCCCUCGAGUAAUCUUCUUGGUAUGCUAAUGAAUACACUACUUGUGCAGCUAACGCAGCGUAUAGAAGAUACUUCACAGAUAGAGAAACACACAAACAAGCCAAUGAGAUUCAGAAGAGAAACCAAACGUUUGAAAAAACUUAGAGAAAAGUUUUGUUUUCUUUAAGAAAAAACCAAACCUUUAGAUUGCCGUAGUUUCCCCAAGGCCAAGCUGACAAAGUAGCCAUUCUUCUUCUCUCAAAUCCUUACGGUUACUUCCUCUCUCUCUCUCUCUUCGUUGUUUAUUGUUUUGCUGUUAAUUGUAAGUUGAAAGUAUAUCCAAAAGUGGUCCUGUCUCACAUGCAGUUCCAUUGUAUCCAAUCCACGUUGUAGAGGUUCACUUCUAAGUGAGGACCAUUUCCGACGUUUGUUGUGUAGUUCCGUCCAUACUCCACAAACUUUUUUUCUAUUUUUGUCUUAACUAAAAUUGAGGUGGUGACAAAAGUGGUAAAAGCCUUUGGAGAUUGUGGAUCAGAUGAAGAUAGGGGUGAAGCAAGCUACGAUCGUGAAACCAGCUGGAGAAGGCCCAUCAAGAUAGCUUGAUAUCUGGGUCUUCAUAAAUCGCCCAUGCUUUGUUGGACAAAAUAAAAAGAACACAAUGCAUCUGGAAAUUUAAGACAACAUUCACUUAUAUAGACUUCUUACGUAACCCUAAGACUUGUGACUUUUCCCACACGUCACGACUUUACAAAAGCCCCGGUUUACAGUUAAUUUAUAAUUUAGUUAUGUAAUCAUUCCAAACUCAAUUAUAAACUAACAUAUACGAUGAGUCUAGGGGUGGGAGGCAACGGAGAAACCAUGCGGGCGCGCAGCAGGAGCUUCUUAAGAAGAUCACUCAUGAGCUGGACGCUGAACGCGAAGCCUCUUCGUCGGCUGCUUCCGAAGCCUUGUCGAUGAUUCUACGCCUUCAGGAAGAGAAAGCAGCGUUGGAGAUGGAGGCUAGUCAGUACAAUAGGAUGGCUGAGGAGAAGAUGUGCCACGCUGAGACUUCUCUGACGCUCUUCGAAGAUCUGAUUUACCGAAAGGAAAUGGAGAUGGCGUCUCGAGUUUCAGGUUCAAGCUUACAGAUGAAAAUUACUCAGCCUCGGCUGCUCUGAUGUUCAUGCCGAGGAGAAGAAAGGUGUUGAGAGUGGUUCUUUAUCUCCUCGUCAAGACUUGAGCGUGUGUUGGGAAGAGAUCAGGAGAAUAGACGAUCAUGUUCGAGAGGUUUCAGAGUCGAGAGAUGUUGCCAAGGGAUCUAAAUGGUCUUUGCUUAGGCAUGAGUCUAUUUCACAUGCAUUGGUUUCACAGGUGAGUAAUACUAUCCUCGAGUCAGCCAAGAGUGAUGUCAGUUCAAUUAUGGAGAUGAUCAAGAAUCCUGAAAGGUUCUCUGCUUCAGACGAGGUUCCAAGGACCAAGGAGAGCCUUACAAUCAUCUCGGAAGAAAGAAAUGUAAGUCACCGCUUUUGAAACUUUAGGGGCUAUAGACAAUUUAGUAAAAGCUUAGAUGAUUUUUUUUAAACAAAGUUGAUGGGUUUAUUAUAUAUACAUAAAAUCUUAUUGAAAAAAAUUUGGAGGUUAGAGCAUCUGUAUUAGUGGGAUGAGGAGAGAGAGAGAAAAAGUCCCUUGUUCUAUUUUUUUUUUUUUUUUUUUUGGUCAUAGGAGAGGACAGCCCUUAAUUAAGGGCUUUUCGCUUCUCUUUCUUCUUCGGUUCCCACCCCCUUUCCCUAAGGGAUGUCUUAAGGGCCUUCCAAUACAGAUGCUCUAAGUCAAUGCUUCAACGGCCUAUGUUCAUGACCGGUCCUUGUCAUUAUCAUAUUUACUAGAACAAAUGGGUUAAGUGUUAAUAAUAAGUAGAAAUAAUCACAGGUCGGAGGAGUAAGCCGACAAAAGUUUGUAACAGUCAGAUACAUAUAUAUAAUAAAUAUUGAGGAAAAUUUUAAAAGUGGAGUAUUCCCUAGGUGAUUUUUGAAAUUUUAAUUUUUUCACAAAAGUAGAAGCUUUUUAUGUUUUCAAAUAUUCCAAUUUUUGUGUAUCCAUUUUAUCCUAUUAAAUUAAAACAGUUAAUAUCUAUGAUUAAUUAGUUCUUUUGAAAUUAUGAUAUUAAAAAGCUUUCUUUUUGGUAUGACAAACUUUUUUUGAAGUGUGUGAAAAUUGUAAAACAUCUAUUUCAGUGGAACAUAAAAUACAUUUUUUUUAAAGGUGAAUCAAUAACAUAAGGUGAAAUUCAACUUGUUUUCCAUGCUUGCAUUUUUCACCUGUACAAAGAAUGGCCAAUCUUGGAAGAAUCAAAGACAAUACCAAAAGGGUAUCUCCCACUCAAUCUGUGAGUGAAGAUACAGAGCUAAGACCGUGUCUCAUGGCUGCUUCCCACACCAGAUCAAUACGGUCAACGUCAAUGGCUCCAACCUCAUGAUGCUCCCAACCCUCCAGCAUAUGAACCAAUCCUCCAGCAUGGCACGCAUGGACCACCCCUCUGUCCAUCGUGUACUGCCACAACACACACACACACACGCAUGCAGAGUUUUAGUCCGGUGUACCAAAAAGUUAAAGAAACAAACAAGAACUCAAUUUCUGUUAACCAAACUGUUCUUUAUACCUCACAAGUUCCGAGUCCUUGAACGUCCUUUGGGAGCCUCAUUGCUGCUAGUUCGUCGUAAGUACAAUUCCUUCUAAACUUGAGGAUUGGUGGCACCACAAACUGGUGGAAAUGCGUUCCUGCAGGAGCCCAACUCUGCUCCCUCGGCGUUAACCAUUUCCCAACGAUCCAAGUCUGUAUAUAUAUAAUACAGACUCCCAAAUGUUAAAUUAUGGACUUUCAACUUUAAACUAAUCGGCAAUAAGUGGAUUGGUCCAUACUUUUUAGAUAUUGUUUAAUUAUUUUUCCAACUAUCAAAUGUGAAUUUUUUUUUUUUUUUUUGUAACAUCAAAUGUGAAAUUUCAUUCAUUCAUUAACACUCAAAAUCAAUAUAUUUACGCAAGAAGUGAAAACAGGUUAAGAAUCAAUACAGUACCUUGCAGUGUUGGGCAGAGUUGUAUUUGGUCACUUGUACGAGGUACUUCUGGAACUCAGAAGGAGCUUCUUUCUGAAUCUUUUCGAAUCUCUCCACCGAUAAUGUCAACAUCUGUAAGUUGUUCCAUAAUCUGUCAGACUUUGGGACUCUAUAUAGCAAACCGUAUCUUUGAGACAAUAGUUCGUUUAGGAUUAAUAAGAAAACUUACAAGAACUCUCACUCCCCGACGACAGAGGUAAAGAGCGAUGGCUCGUCCUAGCUUAGAAGUGGCUCCUAUCAAGAACACCUCUUUCACAUCUUUUGGAACUCCAUUGAGAAUCACUGCUGCGGUUAAAGUGUUGCCGUGGACCACACGAACUCUAAGGUCAGGGUGCUUGUUAACAAACAACGUUCCACCACCAUUUAAAGCUUCGUUCUAAGAAAAAAAAAAAAAUCUAACCCUUUUAGUGACUUGACACUCACACUCACACAAAAGUUUCAGGCUUUCUGAGAUUUGGGUUCUGACACAAACCUUGUUCAGAGCAGCCAAGCUUAUAACUUUAACACCAAGCUUAUCAGCUCUCAAAAUUGCCGCCUCUAUAUGAUUAUUAAUGCCUUGUUUAGCAAACGGUAAGAAGUACUGCCAGAAGAGAAAAAAAAUACUAUAAAACAAUCUGUUCUCUCUAUUUUCAAGGGCAAAAAUGAACCAAAAAAAGGAGAGAGGCAUUACGUGGAAGCCAAGUCUUGGAACGGCCCAAGUCUGGCAAAGAUGGUUCCUGAGGGCAUAGAAGGUGAAAAGAAAUGUUUUUGACCGAACCCACAUGCCUAACAUUACCAUGAACGUGACUGGCCACAUCGGCAGCAAGAAGAACCUCAUGGUGUAUGGAAUUGAACCAAACGAUCUAAACACAAACGGUGCGUGCAUCACUGACAUCACAUCUACCCCAUGAGCCAAGAACACAAACUCCGGCACUCUCUUCUUUUCCCCUGUACACGUGAAUCAAUCUAGUUUUAAGAAAACUGUAAUUUUGGCUGCACAAGUACACACUUUAAGGGUCCAGAUAGUAACAAGUGGGACAACUGCGGUCCGGUUCUAAUAAUAAUAAAAAUAUAGAUACAUAGGUAUAUAUAGAGAUUUGAAUGGUAACAUGCGGGAUAACUGUUGUGCGGUUCUAAUAAAACAAAAACAUAUAAAUCCGUAGGUAUAUGUAAAGAUUUUUGUUACUGCGGUGCGGUCCACCAUUCAGACCCUAAAUCUACUAUUGUCACGUCAUAAAUUGGCUUAAAACAGUUUGGUCUUCCCGGCUAACUUAUAGCAGAAACAAAAGUUUAUUUAACUAGUCUUGUAGUUGUAAUAGCUUUGGGAUAUAUAUGUGCAACCUCGUGGAGUAGUUACACUAUAUUACCUGCAGCUAAACGAAUCUUCUUCUGGAGUUCCCACGAGUUUGGGUUUAGUGUGUUGCCUAAAACAUCAAAGAUAGGCAUGAAGAGACAAAAGUUGGUCUCCAUGUCUUGAUGAUGCAGACUAUGGUACCUGCAUGAUCCGAAGAAUAACAUUUUAAUCAUCACAAAAUAGUUAAGCAACUAGAAACGUGAAACACACCAGUUACUUUCUACACACAUCACUGCCAGCAAAUACAGUCUUGGCAAAUUUGCUUCUUAAAGUAAAAUAUAAGAAAGUCACGUUCACGUUCACGUUCAAAAAAAAAAAUAACGUUAGAAAGCUUUUAUUGGAAACAUAUGGGGUGGCGCCACAUCUAACCAAAUCUAAAAAUUGUAACACAAAAAGAAAUGCCAUGUGAAUAUUUUGCAGAAAGUGUAAGAUAAACGUUAACAACAUACGUUGGAGUGUAGAUGAGAUAUCGUAGGAUUGGAAGAGUCUCGAACAGCUUGUGAGAGAAUAUCUCAACGUUACAAUGUCCUAAACAUCUUAGGAAGUCAAACAUAAUAGCGUAUCCGUAGAUCAAGCUUACUGAUCCAACACCUAACAAGCAAGAACCAAUCAAAGGAACUCCAGCUACUACACAGAGGAGAAGGCUUUCCAAUAACGUCGCAUUAUUAGCUGCACCCAACGUAUCAAAGAUUGUUGUUACUCACAUCGAACAAGAAUAAGAAUUCUUUGUGAAAAUUAUUAGAAGAUUUUGGGAUUACAAGAUAGUUAACUCAAAACCAAAUGUAGGUUAGAGUUCUGAUACCAUGUCAAGAAACCUAAAUUUGUAUAAAUGUUUUUUUGACAUAGUAUCAGAGUUUUAACCUAUAUUUGGUUUUGAGCUAACAACCUCGUAAUCUCCAAAAUCUCCUAGAAUUUUUUUUACCAGUCAUGGGAUUUGGAACAGGAGAUGAGUGGUGGAAAGAGUGGUAGUUGGUGAAGAGGUAGUUGUUACGAUGAACAUAUCUAUGAAGAAAGUAGUAUAAAGGCUCUGAGAAGGUAACGUGUAGCACAAGCAAGACGAUGAGUCCUUUCGUGUUCCACAGAGGGAUGGCCAGAGGGAUAGUACUGUUAAUCAUCAUCAACGGAGGAGACAUGUAACAGAUCAUGGUAGCUAGUAUUGCUUGCAGAAGUAUGUAAUUGUCCC
rnacentral:lncRNA from 1 species